rnacentral:misc_RNA from 1 species
AUAGUAUGGAAAAAAGCCUGCACAAUGGUUUAACUAUUAAAUAGCCGGAUUUCGCUAAGGUAGCACAAUAAUUUGUUAAUUAAUUGUUAACGAGAAUGAUAGGCCUAUUAAAAAAAUAAUUUUUUACUAAAAAGUUAACCUAAAAAAAAAUUGAAAAUUAUUUUUAAUUAAAAAAGACGAGAAGACCCUGUAAAUUAAAAAAGUUAUUUGGGGCAAAAAGUUUUUAAAUAUAAGAAGCUAUAUUAGAGAACUAAUUAUAAAUUAAAUUACUACAGGGUUAACAGGAUAAUCUAUUAUAUAAGUUCUUAUUAUCUAAAAGGUUUUUUACCUCGAUGUUGGUUUAGCUAAAAUAUUUUUGCAGAAGAAAAUAAAAAAUGUCUGUUCGACAACAAUAAGCUACUUGAACUGAGUUCAAUUCGGCGUAAGCCAGAAUGGUUUUUAUCUUUUUAUACUAUUAUUAAUGUUUAG